rnacentral:rRNA from 1 species
AUUGAACGCUGGCGGCAUGCCUAACACAUGCAAGUCGAACGGCAGCACGGCAGUAGCAAUACUGUGGGUGGCGAGUGGCGGACGGGUGAGGAAUACGUCGGAAUCUGCCCAGUCGUGGGGGAUAACUAGCCGAAAGGUUAGCUAAUACCGCAUACGACCGAGAGGUGAAAGACGGGGGACCGGCAAGGCCUCGCGCGAUUGGAUGAGCCGACGUCGGAUUAGCUAGUUGGUGGGGUAAAGGGCCCACCAAGGCGACGAUCCGUAGCUGGUCUGAGAGGAUGAUCAGCCACACUGGAACUGAGACACGGUCCAGACUCCUACGGGAGGCAGCAGUGGGGAAUAUUGGACAAUGGGCGCAAGCCUGAUCCAGCAAUGCCGCGUGUGUGAAGAAGGCCUUC